rnacentral:lncRNA from 1 species
AUGAAAAUGGCAUCAGAUCAGCAGUUCCUGAUCAACAUAACUAACUUAACGAACGGCCCAAAGAAACUGCAAAAAGGAUUACCGGUUGGCAAAAUAAUCGCCCGGGAACAAGGAAACGCGAAAGUACCAAAAAUUUCAGUAAACCUAGUGGAGGAUCCAGUGACGGAGCCAGAAAUCAAAACGCGAAUAAUACUAGCUGGAGAUCACCACCUGAACCAGGCAAGGGUGGAACUCAGAAAAGCCCUGGAACAACACGCGCAAAUAGAUAUAUUCUGCCCGGAAAACGGAGAAAUGAAUAGAGUGCUAGACGAACUGAAUCAUGCCGCGCCGUCACGUGACACAAAAACUAUAUUAAUAGUAAUAGCCGGAAACGAAGAUUUCAAUCGAAGAUAUUGCCUACAAAGCCACUCGGCAAUCGCCAAUGACCUACCCUUGGGCAGAAUCAGGGAACUGACACAAGAGUUUCACGUAGCCUACACAACACUGCUGCCAAGAUAUGACAUAAACAGGCUAAAUGAGAAAAUUGCCUUGGUGAACGCUGACAUCAUCGGACAGCUUAUGCCAGGAAAAACGCUCACCAAGAUCAACCUGUCAACCGAAAACCUACCAAAAACAGCUUUCAGGGCGAACGGGAUCGAUCUGAACAACAAGGGAGCCGAAAUACUAGCGAACAUAAUCGAAGGCCACGUCAGGAACAUAAUCGAGAACAAAACGGAAUCCGGAAUCGUGAGUGCCAUUGAAAACGGAACGCAAAAGAAGUUAAACCUAAAACGGCCUCUCCGAGUGAAAGGACUCAUUAAUUUCAAAGAAGUAUCCAUAAUGUGCGACACAGGCUCAUCGGUAAAUUUGGUGAAACCGAGCUUAGUAAACCCAGACGAAAUUAGGCCAGUAAAAAACUUUCAACUUUUAACGGCCUCCUCAGAAAAAUUUCAACCGGAAGGAGAGUGCACACUAACACUAGAACUCGGCCAGGAGAAACUGCAAAUAACUUGCUUCGUCACCGACAAAAUUCCAGUUCCUGUAAUCCUAGGGAUACCCUUCUUAACAUAUUAUUCAGCCCUCAUUUGCUUCGACACGCAAAAAGUUAUACUCAGGAUAAACGUGCGACACCCCAUUAAGCUCGAAUUCACUCAAGAUACGCCAAAUUUAGCAACCCAGCGACCUCAAAUACAGGAUGAUGACCAAGAUGAAGAGAAUGUCAUAGGAUUCUGCAUGGCACUCGCUUCGGUAAAGGAACCGCGUGACGAUCGCCGGAAUUCUGAGGGCUUUCCGAAAAUCAGCAAAGAAAUUAUGCCUGUUGAGCUAUCAUCAACUCCGAAAUUCAGGGAGUCUUUUAAAUUUGGCGGGAGUCACGCGUCAAGAGAUCAAAUUGUACAAACUUCAAGAAAAUUUUGGAUAAAUGACCCAGGAUGCCUACCUAUUAUCCGGCACUUCACUACUUGCCACCCCUGGCGCGCGAGUCUAUGCACACUAUUGACUUUAAAAAACAAGCUAAAACUCAGAUCUUCUAAGCGGCAUCGCCUUCAAUGUGCAAUUAAACAUCGCCUGUUAACACCACAUAAAUUACUGAGCAGCAUAACUGAGUUAAAACGCGGAGCAUGUACUGCGGAUUGCAUAGGAGAAAUAGUUCAAACAAAAUCAACGAAUUCGCCUACAGGGAUGGAACGUACUAAACCACCCAGCCUACAGAUGAGUUCUCCUUCUGAUGAAAAAUUCGCCGAAGAAUUUAAUAAAUUGCCUCAAUAUGAAAAAUUACCUCUAAUUCUGGUAAUCUGCUGCGCGCUUGCUUGCGCAGUAAUGACGAUUAAAGAAUGGCUAACACAUCUAAAAAACCCAUCACACCAAUAUUUCGAAGCAACGGCAAAUGCAGUUCGCAUUUGUGCCUUCAACACAUGUGAACGCUUCCUCUCUUCCUCCACGUUACCGGUGAAUUCACUUAGAGACCGACUGAAAGUGCGGCCAAAAUUUUUACGACCUGAAAAAUCCCAGCACUAUCAAGUACUUCGUAAGUGUAAAUUUAAAAAAGUUACACAACUUGUGAAAAACGAACAACCAAGAACCUUUACUCAGCAGAAAAGAAACUUCGUUCACCGUCAAAAUUUCUCUAAAUCACGUAAACGAAAGAAAAAAGGGCAUCUUCUCCACUUGCUUACACUCUCCAGCUCUCACCACAAGUUUCAGUCCAUUUUUGCAACGGAUUUCCUCUUUCUUUCCAACAAAAAUCGCUAA